rnacentral:rRNA from 1 species
GACGAACGCUGGCGGCGUGCUUAACACAUGCAAGUCGAACGGUAAGGCUCCAGCUUGCUGGGGUACACGAGUGGCGAACGGGUGAGUAACACGUGGGUGACCUGCCCUGCACUUCGGGAUAAGCCUGGGAAACUGGGUCUAAUACCGGAUAGGACCGCACCGUGAGGGUGUGGUGGAAAGUUUUUUCGGUGUGGGAUGGGCCCGCGGCCUAUCAGCUUGUUGGUGGGGUAAUGGCCUACCAAGGCGGCGACGGGUAGCCGGCCUGAGAGGGUGGACGGCCACAUUGGGACUGAGACACGGCCCAGACUCCUACGGGAGGCAGCAGUGGGGAAUAUUGCACAAUGGGCGGAAGCCUGAUGCAGCGACGCCGCGUGGGGGAUGACGGCCUUCGGGUUGUAAACUCCUUUCACCAUCGACGAAGGGUUUCUGACGGUAGAUGGAGAAGAAGCACCGGCUAACUACGUGCCAGCAGCCGCGGUAAUACGUAGGGUGCGAGCGUUGUCCGGAAUUACUGGGCGUAAAGAGCUCGUAGGUGGUUUGUCGCGUCGUCUGUGAAAUUCCGGGGCUUAACUCCGGGCGUGCAGGCGAUACGGGCAUAACUUGAGUACUGUAGGGGAGACUGGAAUUCCUGGUGUAGCGGUGAAAUGCGCAGAUAUCAGGAGGAACACCGGUGGCGAAGGCGGGUCUCUGGGCAGUAACUGACGCUGAGGAGCGAAAGCAUGGGGAGCGAACAGGAUUAGAUACCCUGGUAGUCCAUGCCGUAAACGGUGGGCGCUAGGUGUGGGUUUCCUUCCACGGGAUCCGUGCCGUAGCUAACGCAUUAAGCGCCCCGCCUGGGGAGUACGGCCGCAAGGCUAAAACUCAAAGGAAUUGACGGGGGCCCGCACAAGCGGCGGAGCAUGUGGAUUAAUUCGAUGCAACGCGAAGAACCUUACCUGGGCUUGACAUAUACAGGAUCGCGCCAGAGAUGGUGUUUCCCUUGUGGCUUGUAUACAGGUGGUGCAUGGUUGUCGUCAGCUCGUGUCGUGAGAUGUUGGGUUAAGUCCCGCAACGAGCGCAACCCUUGUCUUAUGUUGCCAGCACGUUGUGGUGGGGACUCGUAAGAAACUGCCGGGGUUAACUCGGAGGAAGGUGGGGAUGACGUCAAAUCAUCAUGCCCCUUAUGUCCAGGGCUUCACACAUGCUACAAUGGUCGGUACAGUGGGUUGCCAGUCCGUGAGGGCGAGCUAAUCCCGCAAAGCCGGUCUCAGUUCGGAUCGGGGUCUGCAACUCGACCCCGUGAAGUCGGAGUCGCUAGUAAUCGCAGAUCAGCAUGCUACGGUGAAUACGUUUCCCGGGUCU